CUUGCCUGUGGGCCCCGGGAGCUAAGAAUAGCCCGGGGAGCUGAAAACCCGCCGUCGCCCCUCCCAGCCCUGUGUGCGGCCGGGGCGAAAGGACCCUGUCGCCCGCGGAGGGGACAGCUGCUCCCGGCAUGUUUGGGCGCGCGGCUGAGCCCUGCCAGCUGUUCGGAAGAGGAGAGGAGCCAAAGGAAGGGGGGAGUUUCCGACUCCAAAAGUGCCGAGCCCACGCUUGGCCGCUGUGCCGCCUGGAGUACCGGGAAGGUGCCCGAGCCCUGGCUCUGCCUGUCGUCGGUGAGUGACCUUUGGCAAGCCACCUCCGCCUCCCAGGGUUUAGGACGCAGACCCGCCCAGGGAGAGGAUGGCCAUCUGGAAGCCAAAGAGAGAGACUCAGAAGCCGGCCCUGCAGACACCUUGACCUUGGACUUCCUGCCUCCAGAGACAACAGAUGACGGCUCUUCACCCAGAGGAUCCCAAAUGCUCAAUGGCUCCCGGCAUCCCUGACGGGGGCAAAGCCAGAGUUUGCUGCCCCCGGGGCCGGGCGUCUGCCCCUGGGGGCCGUUUGCAAGGAAGCAUCUGGGCACAGAUGUUAUUGUGGGCACAAAUCAUGGGCAGAAACGGCCAAGUGAGCUGUGCGGGUCCGCUCCACGGAGGCCCGGCCCCGAUGGACCCUCUUUCUAGGCUAUCUGUGUGUUUCUCCUACCACCCUAAGUGAGGCAGAGAGUUUUGUCUCUAUUUCGCGAGUCUAAAGAGCAGGUCUGGGACCACUCAGCCAGAGGGCGGCAGUGCCUGGGGCGACCCCGGAGAAGGAAACACACGGGGCGCGGGGGCGGGGGUGGGGGUGGAGGGAGCCCAGCCCGGGGCACUGACGGGAGACAGGCGGCCCUGAGGGCGUCCACGCAGGUUAGGGCGGUGGGGUCACGGGAGCUCUCGAACACUCCUCACCCGCUGUUGUGCAGUGACAGCGUGUUCGAGGCGCGUGAGGCCUGGGGCAGCCCCAGCCCCCUGGAGGGGCCAGCCGCUGGGUCAGGGACACUGGCCCGGCUGGUGGGGAGGGUUCCCUGCGGAGCGGGCUGGGCGGGCGGCACCUGGACAGCACCCGGCGCUCUUCUAGGGCCUUCCGGAGUCCUUCUCCGGCUCCUGCCUGGACCCCCUUCGGCCGACGCUGAGUCGGCCCUGCUCGGGGGGUGCUGGGGGACGCAGGGCCAGAUGGUGGCCGGAUUAGAAGACGGGUGGGUCCUAGAAGCCGGGGCAGAGGGCAGAGCAUGGCCCAGAGGCUGCAGGCUGCGGAGCUUGUGGGGGGUGUCUCCAAAGACUGCUCGGGGGGGGCCCGGCCCCAGCUCACGGCCGCCUCUCCUCACCGCCUGCCCGGCAAUGAGACAGAAGGGGGACAGAGGAGAAGCCAAGCAAGCCCCUGGCCCCUAAACCAGCUGAGCUGAGCUGUCGCAGGCGGGAACUUUAGAUUCCAUGAGAUUCUCCUGCUAAGUACCUUGCGAUGCGUGUGCGAAUGUGGGAAGAACGAGUCUCUCGAAUAAAUAAAUAAACUUUUUUUUUUUUUUUAAAGAAUGACGCUCUUAAAAAAAAAAAAA